rnacentral:tRNA from 1 species
GCCUCUAUGGCGUAGUGGUAGCGCGUGUCACUUGUACUUUUCAGCACAGGAUUAUGACAAGGUCUCUCGUUCGAUCCGGGAUGGAGGCA